AUGCAAGUCGAGCGGUAGCACAGAGAGCUUGCUCUCGGGUGACGAGCGGCGGACGGGUGAGUAAUGUCUGGGAAACUGCCUGAUGGAGGGGGAUAACUACUGGAAACGGUAGCUAAUACCGCAUAACGUCGCAAGACCAAAGAGGGGGACCUUCGGGCCUCUUGCCAUCAGAUGUGCCCAGAUGGGAUUAGCUAGUAGGUGGGGUAACGGCUCACCUAGGCGACGAUCCCUAGCUGGUCUGAGAGGAUGACCAGCCACACUGGAACUGAGACACGGUCCAGACUCCUACGGGAGGCAGCAGUGGGGAAUAUUGCACAAUGGGCGCAAGCCUGAUGCAGCCAUGCCGCGUG
rnacentral:rRNA from 1 species